ACGCUGGCGGCGUGCCUAAUACAUGCAAGUAGAACGCUGAAGCUUGGUGCUUGCACCGAGCGGAAGAGUUGCGAACGGGUGAGUAACGCGUAGGUAACCUGCCUCUUAGCGGGGGAUAACUAUUGGAAACGAUAGCUAAUACCGCAUAAAAGUCGGCAUUGCAUGAUGUUGACUUGAAAGGUGCAACUGCAUCACUAAGAGAUGGACCUGCGUUGUAUUAGCUAGUUGGUGAGGUAACGGCUCACCAAGGCGACGAUACAUAGCCGACCUGAGAGGGUGAUCGGCCACACUGGGACUGAGACACGGCCCAGACUCCAACGGGAGGCAGCAGUAGGGAAUCUUCGGCAAUGGACGGAAGUCUGACCGAGCAACGCCGCGUGAGUGAAGAAGGUUUUCGGAUCGUAAAGCUCUGUUGUAAGAGAAGAACGAGUGUGAGAGUGGAAAGUUCACACUGUGACGGUAACUUACCAGAAAGGGACGGCUAACUACGUGCCAGCAGCCGCGGUAAUACGUAGGUCCCGAGCGUUAUCCGGAUUUAUUGGGCGUAAAGCGAGCGCAGGCGGUUAGAUAAGUCUGAAGUUAAAGGCUGUGGCUUAACCAUAGUACGCUUUGGAAACUGUUUAACUUGAGUGCAGAAGGGGAGAGUGGAAUUCCAUGUGUAGCGGUGAAAUGCGUAGAUAUAUGGAGGAACACCGGUGGCGAAAGCGGCUCUCUGGUCUGUAACUGACGCUGAGGCUCGAAAGCGUGGGGAGCAAACAGGAUUAGAUACCCUGGUAGUCCACGCCGUAAACGAUGAGUGCUAGGUGUUGGGUCCUUUCCGGGACUCAGUGCCGCAGCUAACGCAUUAAGCACUCCGCCUGGGGAGUACGACCGCAAGGUUGAAACUCAAAGGAAUUGACGGGGGCCCGCA
rnacentral:rRNA from 1 species